UACGUAGGGUGCAAGCGUUAAUCGGAAUUACUGGGCGUAAAGCGUGCGCAGGCGGUUAUGUAAGACAGGUGUGAAAUCCCCGGGCUUAACCUGGGAACUGCAUUUGUGACUGCAUAGCUAGGGUACGGUAGAGGGGGAUGGAAUUCCGCGUGUAGCAGUGAAAUGCGUAGAUAUGCGGAGGAACACCGAUGGCGAAGGCAAUCCCCUGGACCUGUACUGACGCUCAUGCACGAAAGCGUGGGGAGCAAACAGG
rnacentral:rRNA from 1 species